GUGAACGCUUGCGGUAGGCCUAACACAUGCAAGGCGAACGGCAGCACAGUAAGAGCUUGCUCUUACGGGUGGCGAGUGGCGGACGGGUGAGGAAUACAUCGGAAUCUACUUUUGCGUGGGGGAUAACGAAGGGAAACUUACGCUAAUACCGCAUACGACCUACGGGUGAAAGCACGGGAUAUUCGGACCUUGCGCGAAUGAAUGAGCCGAUGUCGGAUUAGCUAGUGGGGGGGGGAAAGGCCAACGAAGGCGACGAUCCGUAGGUGGUCUGAGAGGAUGAUCACCCACACUGGAACUGGGACACGGUCCAGACUCCUACGGGAGGCCGCAGUGGGGAAUAUUGGACAGAGGGCGCAAGCCUGAUCCAGCCAUCCCGCGUGGGUGAAGAAGGCCUUCGGGUUGUAAAGCCCUUUUGUUGGGAAAGAAAAGCAGCCGGUUAAUACCCCGCUGUUCUGACGGUACCCAAAGAAUAAGCACCGGCUAACUUCGUG
rnacentral:rRNA from 1 species